GACGGAGGGUGCUAGCGUUGUUCGGAAUUACUGGGCGUAAAGGGCUCGUAGGCGGCCAACUAAGUCGGAUGUGAAAUCCCCAGGCUUAACCUGGGAACUGCAUCCGAUACUGGAUGGCUUGAAUCCGGGAGAGGGAUGCAGAAUUCCAGGUGUAGCGGUGAAAUGCGUAGAUAUCUGGAGGAAUACCGGUGGCGAAGGCGGCAUCCUGGACCGGCAUUGACGCUGAGUGAGCGAAAGCCAGGGGAGCAAACGGG
rnacentral:rRNA from 1 species